rnacentral:ncRNA from 1 species
AAACGCCUUAUGCGGUGAAAGCCGCACGUAUGGUGUGGACCGAACGAAAAUUAAUUUAUUUCUUCCCAACAAAAAUAAGUUAAUUAGUCGCGG